GGGUGCUUGAGGCUGUUUGCCUCAGGCUUUCGCAAGAGGCAAACAGUGGAGAGUCCCACAUCAAAAAAACUGAUGGGGAGACCAACUUCACAACCAACAUUGCGAGGUUAGUCUCUUCAUUGCCGAAAAGCAAUAAGGAGGCUGGAAUG
rnacentral:antisense_RNA from 1 species